rnacentral:rRNA from 1 species
AGAGUUUGAUCCUGGCUCAGGAUGAACGCUGGCGGCGUGCCUAAUACAUGCAAGUCGAGCGAACGGACGAGAAGCUUGCUUCUCUGAUGUUAGCGGCGGACGGGUGAGUAACACGUGGAUAACCUACCUAUAAGACUGGGAUAACUUCGGGAAACCGGAGCUAAUACCGGAUAAUAUUUUGAACCGCAUGGUUCAAAAGUGAAAGACGGUCUUGCUGUCACUUAUAGAUGGAUCCGCGCUGCAUUAGCUAGUUGGUAAGGUAACGGCUUACCAAGGCAACGAUGCAUAGCCGACCUGAGAGGGUGAUCGGCCACACUGGAACUGAGACACGGUCCAGACUCCUACGGGAGGCAGCAGUAGGGAAUCUUCCGCAAUGGGCGAAAGCCUGACGGAGCAACGCCGCGUGAGUGAUGAAGGUCUUCGGAUCGUAAAACUCUGUUAUUAGGGAAGAACAUAUGUGUAAGUAACUGUGCACAUCUUGACGGUACCUAAUCAGAAAGCCACGGCUAACUACGUGCCAGCAGCCGCGGUAAUACGUAGGUGGCAAGCGUUAUCCGGAAUUAUUGGGCGUAAAGCGCGCGUAGGCGGUUUUUUAAGUCUGAUGUGAAAGCCCACGGCUCAACCGUGGAGGGUCAUUGGAAACUGGAAAACUUGAGUGCAGAAGAGGAAAGUGGAAUUCCAUGUGUAGCGGUGAAAUGCGCAGAGAUAUGGAGGAACACCAGUGGCGAAGGCGACUUUCUGGUCUGUAACUGACGCUGAUGUGCGAAAGCGUGGGGAUCAAACAGGAUUAGAUACCCUGGUAGUCCACGCCGUAAACGAUGAGUGCUAAGUGUUAGGGGGUUUCCGCCCCUUAGUGCUGCAGCUAACGCAUUAAGCACUCCGCCUGGGGAGUACGACCGCAAGGUUGAAACUCAAAGGAAUUGACGGGGACCCGCACAAGCGGUGGAGCAUGUGGUUUA